GCACCGGCUAACUCCGUGCCAGCAGCCGCGGUAAUACGGAGGGUGCAAGCGUUAUCCGGAUUUAUUGGGUUUAAAGGGUGCGUAGGCGGUUAUUUAAGUCAGUGGUGAAAGUUUUCGGCUCAACCGGAAAAUUGCCAUUGAUACUGGAUAGCUGGAAUAUGGUUGCUGUGAGUAGAAUGUGUGGUGUAGCGGUGAAAUGCAUAGAUAUCACACAGAAUACCGAUUGCGAAGGCAUCUCACAAAGCCAUCAUUGACGCUGAGGCACGAAAGUGUGGGGAUCAAACAGGAUUAGAUACCCUGGUAGUCCACACUGUAAACGAUGAUAACUCGCUGUCGGCGAUACACAGUCGGUGGCCAAGCGAAAGCGAUAAGUUAUCCACCUGGGGAGUACGACCGCAAGGUUGAAACUCAAAGGAAUUGACGGGGGCCCGCACAAGCGGAGGAACAUGUGGUUUAAUUCGAUGAUACGCGAGGAACCUUACCCGGGCUCGAACGGUGCAGGAAUAUGGUAGAGAUAUCAUAGCUAGCAAUAGUCUGUAUCGAGGUGCUGCAUGGUUGUCGUCAGCUCGUGCCGUGAGGUGUCGGCUUAAGUGCCAUAACGAGCGCAACCCUUGUCAUUAGUUACCAUCAGGUAGAGCUGGGGACUCUAAUGAGACUGCCACCGUAAGGUGAGAGGAAGGGGGGGAUGACGUCAAAUCAGCACGGCCCUUACGUCCGGGGCGACACACGUGUUACAAUGGUAGGUACAGAGGGCCGCUACCCAGCGAUGGGGUGCAAAUCUCGAAAACCUAUCUCAGUUCGGAUCGGAGUCUGCAACUCGACUCCGUGAAGUUGGAUUCGCUAGUAAUCGCGCAUCAGCCAUGGCGCGGUGAAUACGUUCCCGGGCCUUGUACACACCGCCCGUCAAGCCAUGGAAGCCGGGGGUGCCUGAAGUUCGUCACCGAAAGGAGCGACCUAGGGCAAAACUGGUAACUGGGGCUAAGUCGUAACAAGGUAGCCGUACCGGAAGGUGUGGCUG
rnacentral:rRNA from 1 species